AUCCCUCUUGUUUACAUGGGUCCUGGCAGUGGUGGAGAGACCACAACAAGCCAUGAAGAACAGUUUUAUGGAUUAUGAGACAUCAGAAAUAUAUACAGCGAAAAAUUCCCUACACGAAUUAUUUCGGAGCGGCCGCAAGAGGGCGUCACGAUCAGCUCAUUAUCGCGCUGACCAAAAAAGGCACAUUUCAUGAAUGAAACUGUUCCGCAUGCGCAUGUACUGCGCAGCGGUACUUGGAGUCGUUGUCACUUCGACAGAGCUCAGCAAGAACUUUCGAAUGGUACCAAGAUCGUUCAAAUUCGUACAUUCCUUCGACUUCUUCGCCCAUUUCUUUGAUAUCAGCCUGAGGUGCACGAACUCGCGGAUUCUAGGUGGUAUUUGAAUCUUGGUUGAAAAUGGAGGGGCACAUCGGUGCCUUAGGUAUGAUGUGCAGGAUCUGUGUGCAGGUCAUUACAUCAUCGAAAAACAGAUCCAGCUUGGCAAGGUACAGGACAGAACUCCUCGCCGUGUACAAGCUGAAUUUGGAUGAAGAGCAAGAGGGCAUCCAUCCGUCAAUUGUUUGCAACAAAUGCAGGAGACAAAUGCAAUGUGCACAUAGCUCCAUGCAGCAAGGAAAGCAGUACCAAGGCACGCUUCCAAAGAAGCGGGACUUCUCAGCCCAUGAUGCUUCUUGCUGGGUGUGCAGUGCUCAUGCUGCAUACACAUCGCACAUCCACCCUCGGUUUGGAGAGCCCUCAACAAGUGGCAUAUCAGACCAGCCAUCAACCAGUUCACAAGAUUCAGCACUUCAAUCAAGCCAUGCAACAGCCAAAAGAUCCUUGUUCGGCAAAUCAGUUCCAGACCCAGGAUUGGCGUCGCAUGGAAAGAAGCACAUAUGGAGUGUGAAGGCCAGUUUGAGCCAGGUCAGACGGGAUCAUGCCCGUAGGCGUACGAAGGAGGCAUCUGAGUGGAUAACAGACUUCUGUGAGAAGCAGAAAGAAAGUUAGACUGAUGUCCUCUACUUUCUUCUGUGUGAGAAUCUGAAGGAAUGCAGUGACUCCAGGUGUAGAGAGGUGUUGGCAUCCUGGAGCAAGGAGACAAAUGACUUGUCUGCAGAAGAUUGCCUCGCGAUGCGAGUGACCACAAAAACCUCGAAGUCGCACUAUGAGGCACAGUACAAGAAAUUCAGAACCAAGGGCGUCAGCAUCCUCAAGCCUCCACAUGUCCUGAAUGAGCUGGAAAAGACCUUCAUGCCAGGUAAUGUGCUGUUCAGGUUGGAGGGAGGAAGAGAUGUAAUUCAUCACACACCUGUUAAGGUUGGGAAGUCCCAUGUUCACUAUGGGGAGGUUUCUUUUGAACCCCUGGACCUCAAUCAAGAGGACCAUCCAGGGUUAGAAACCCCUUUCCCCAACAUGAAAGGUGUGGCUUGGCCCUACCCCCACGCCCUUGCCAAGACUCUGGUGGAGUUGGAUGCUGAAAUUGCAGCGGGAAUGGAGAAAGCAGGAAUUGAUCCCGAUAAUGACCAUUAUGUCCUGACAACCAUCAAGGAUGGUGCUGAUGGAAUGGGAGACAUCUCCAUAACAAAAAGCGUAAGGGAUCGCCUGCUACCAGACAAAGCAUUUCGUGCUGCAUUUGCAGUCAUCAAGAGCGAGGUAGAGAAGGAUGGAGAAAGAGUCACUGUUUAUGAGCCUGAUGCCCCAGACUCGACCUUCAUUACUCGACCACUUAUUGAGGCAAUAGCAGAUGAAAACAAUAAGAGCAUCUGCCUCAGUCCUACUGGAUGGUAUGGAGCAGGAUCGAGUCAUGUUGCAAUCAAAGGAAAUGGCUGUCAAUGUUGGUGCAGUAUGGAGGAGACAUAAACUGAGGAUCUUUCAUGGAAGUCUGCGCAAGGGCCAGGUUUCUCUCGAAGAAUUUGACAAUAGGGUAAAGAGAUUCAAUGAACUUGUCCAGCAGUCAACAUUCCAAGAGGAUCGCUGGUGGAUCUGGGAGCAUAGAGGUUUGAGGCACUUCCGUUAUAAUGUCGAUGGAGUCCACCUCAAUGAAGCUGGAAUGUUGCAGUAUGAAAGGACCUUGCGACAGUUGGUGAAGUUCUUUGAUUCUCGUAUAUGGCCAUAGAUGAAAAUAUAUUUUAGUGGUGAGGACUUUGUUCUGUUUAUCAUCUGUUUAUCAUAAAAAUAGGAAACAAAAUGGGUCUUGCAGAGAGGCUGUGCUUUUAUUGAUUAGAUGUGUUAACCUAAAAACUUGUAAACCUAAUCAUGGAGAUUAAAAUGCAGAAUCAUUCAAUCGAUCCUCAGGAGCUGAUCGAACGAGUAGGGGAGAUUGUGGUGGACUGGACUAUAAAGAUCCACCGUAAGA
rnacentral:misc_RNA from 1 species